UAAUACAGAGGCCCCGAGCGUUAGUCGGAAUUACUGGGCUUAAAGGGUGCGUAGGCGGACUUCUAAGUGUCGCGUGAAAGCCCACGGCUUAACCGUGGAACCGCGCGGCAAACUGGGAGUCUUGAGGAACGUAUAGGCGGGUGGAACGAUAGGUGGAGCGGUGGAAUGCGUAGAUAUCUAUCGGAACGCCGAAGGUGAAGACAGCCCGCUGGGCGUUUCCUGACGCUGAGGCACGAAAGCGUGGGUAGCAAACAGGAUUAGAUACCCUGGUAGUCCACGCCCUAAACGAUGUACGCUGAGUUAGAGCGGCUCUGACGCCGUUCGGACUGUAGAGAAAUUGAUAAGCGUACCGCCUGGGGAGUACGGUCGCAAGGCUA
rnacentral:rRNA from 1 species